rnacentral:rRNA from 1 species
CAAUAGCGUAUAUUAAUGUUGUUGCAGUUAAAAAGCUCGUAGUUGGAUUUCGAAUGGGAGCGGUGGGUCGGGUCCGCAAGGGCUCGUUACCUGUUUCGUCUCCGGUUCUUUUUCGGGAUUUGUUUCUGGCGUGGCUGGCAUUGAGUUGUCGGUGGCGUCGGGCCCGUCGUUUACUGUGAACAAAUUAGAGUGUUCAAAGCAAGGUGUGUCUUGAAUACAUUAGCAUGGAAUAAUGAGAUAGGACUUUGGUGGUUUCGGUGAAAGCCGGAUAUUUUGUUGGUUUGCACGCCAAAGUAAUGAUUAAUAGGAGCAGUUGGGGGUAUUCGUAUUCAAUUGUCAGAGGUGAAAUUCUUGGAUUUCUAGAAGACGAGCUACUGCGAAAGCAUUUACCAGGGAUGUUUUCAUUAA